rnacentral:snRNA from 1 species
AUACUUACCUGGACGGGAUCGAUGGGUGAUCAGGAAUGUCCAUGGUUCUAGAUCAGUGACCUCCAUUGCACUGAGGAGGGGUGCUGGUUUAAGGUCUCCCCAAGAGGGAGAGCCUGCGUCAUAAUUUGUGGCAGAGGGGGCUGCGCCAGUCGCGGCCCCUG